UGCGGCCCCUGCGGCUGCCUGCGGGACCUCUGGCCGCGGAGGGUACCCCGCAUUGGCGCCUUGUCGCUGUGGCAGGGACAUCCCGGCCCAGAAAAGAAUGACGUUUAGGCACGGCCUAACCACCUAAGUGAGGGCACUGAAGCUGCCAGGGGAAGGGCAAGGGCCGCGUCACAGAGCCCAAGCACGGUGGCACUGGUUGGAGAAUGUUCAAAGUUGCUUUUGCUGCGAAUUGAAACAUUUGUGGACGUGCAAAGGGAAAGGAAGUUUGCCCUUACUUCCUAAGAAGCUAAGUGUACCUUUUAGUUUUUUUAGCUUUUAUCUCCUCUGUUCUCCAAACCUAAAUCUGAAGCUAGCCCCAGGACCUCUAGGCUCCCUGUGGUUUUGGCCCUUUGUGUAAAGUAGAAGCUGAGAAGCCAGUUAAAGGGCAUCACCAAAGAGUAGUGGCCUUGCAGACAGAAAUCUAGCUUCUAAAUUCAUUCACCGAGUAUUUGAGUGCCUUUCAUGUAGCAGGCACUACUUUAGGUUCUUGAGAUACAUCCAUUAAGAAAAUAAGGAUCACUCCUCUCACGGAGUUUACUUGGGAGUAGGGAGAGCAGACAAUAUACAGCUAAAAAAUUAUAUAGUAUGUUAAAAAGGGAUAUGUGCUAUCAAAAAAAAAUUUGAGAUUGAGAGGAAUCAGGAAGGAGGUGGAAGGGCAAGUUGCAGAAUUAAAUAGUGUCAAAGUAGGACUUACUGAGAAGGUGAGAGUUGAGCCAACUUAAAGGAGGAGCGUUAGCUGUAUAUAACUGGGGAUGUGCUCCAGGCAGGAAAAAAACUUAGAGCCAAGGCCCUAGGCGCCAAUGGCUAGUGUGGCUGGAGCAGAGCCAGCAAGGCAGAGUAGUGGGAGAUGAAGAUCCAGUGAGGGAGGGAGGGAGAAAAUCAUAUAGAGUCUUAGAGGUCAUAGAGGACUUUGUCUUUUACUUUGAGUUAAGUGGGUGGCUAUUGCAGAGUUUUGAACAGAGGUAUGACUUCAAACUAAAAGGAUUACACUGUGCUGUCUUGAAAAUACACCUAUUAGGAAGGUAUUGCAAUAAUCCAGGACAGAAAUGUUGGGGCCUAGAACCAGGAUGGUACUAGUGAAUUUGGUGAGAAGUGGGAGGAUUCUAGCUCUAUUUUGAAGGUAGAGCCAAUAGAAUUGGAUGGAUUAGAUAUGGAAUUUGAGAGGAAGAAAGAUGUGAAGGAUGAUACCAAUGUCAGUUGAAUUAAUGUAUGUAAGGAACUUAGAAUCGUGCCCAGUAUAUAGUAAGCAUUCAAUUUUAUUAUACUGUAAUGUGCUUAUUAAUUCCAAUACUUUUGGUGUGUGUGACUGGAGCAGUGACAGUCUACGUACCAGUUUCAGCAUCUAAAAUGAUGCAGUUUUAAAAUUCUAUGAUUGUGGAUAUUUAUCAAAUGAGUCAUGUAUUUAAGGAGUUCACAGUCUAGCUGGGGUGAUAAGAUAAAUAUAUUGAACAAAUAUUCGCAACAUGAGAGAGCAGAUUUUGAAGGUAACAAGUUAUGUAAUGCAUAUGGCAGGAGCCCCAUGAGUUGAACCCACAGGGUAAAUGUUAGAAUAAGGACAGGACUUGAAAGAUGGGCAGAAAUGAAUAGGAGGAACAGGUGGACCUUACAAACAAAGGCAACAAGACAGGUGAAGGAGUUCAGAUCAUGUCACCUCAAAAUAUGCUGCUUUUGCAUAUUGAUUAUUUUAAGUUAAAGGCACUUGAGAAGCACCAGAUGUAAGAAGGGCACUCAGACCCUCCUUUUUAUUCCUGAAAGUAGGAGAUAAAACUCCUAUGGAAAAGGCACCCUCCCUGUACCUGGAGGAAAGAAGACAUGUUUAUCACCAGAGACAGGGAAUCAGGGAAUCAAGGCCGAAAGAAAUCUGUAUAAACAGAACUUGUUAAAAAUAAUUCUUAUCUUUCUUUAGACUCCCUAUAUAGUUUAGUUACUUUUCCACAAUUGCCUCUCUUUGUUCAAACUACUAUAAAAACAUGUAGGUUCCACCAUCUGGUGGGGGGGUCUUCAUUCUUUUGUGAAGGAGAAUGUACAUGUAAGAAAUUUUAAUAAAACUCAUGUACUUUUUGCCUGUUAAUCUGUCUUAUGUCAGUUUAAUUCUUAGGCCCAGCCAGAGAGCCUAAAAUAGUAGAGGAGAAUUUUUCCUCCCCUAGACAGGAAUGAGUGUGGUAUAUUCAGCAGCAGUGAGGAGACCCGCCUGAUGAGUGGUGAUGGUAUACUGAAGAGAAAAUAAAUUAGAUGGAUAAUAUGAUGCCAGAUUAUCCAGGGUCACAGAAAGCCAAAAUGAGAAAUUUGAACACCAGGAAGGUUACUCUGGCCGUGUUUGCCAUCGCUUUUCAGGAAUUGAUGAAUUAACAAUAAUGAACAUUGUGAGUGAUUUGAUGAAAUAGAUUUAAAAUCCCCCCAGAGACUCCUCCACAUUUUCUAUCAGGGGAUAUCUUUUCCUUGCCACUUGCAAAGCGGGAUGGGAAGAGGAAGUACUAAGAUGCUCUUCCUAAAACUGCAUCCUUAGGAUUAUGAUGUUUUUGUUGCUCUCUGGUAACUGGGCUCUGUAAGCUUUAUUUUAGGACAUCCUCAACAAGUAAAUAUAUUAUAGUGUGUAUAUCCUGGAAUUAAAUUGUAUGUUAGGAAAUAUGUUGAGUCCAUUCUCCAAAGUCACCCAAUCUUUGGCUUGAUGGUGUCAUUCUUCUCCUCUGGGUUCAUCCUAGUGCCUUUGUAUUAAGUAUCUCUUAUAGUGCCUUUUUAUUAAGCAUCUUUUCUCCAGGUCCUUUUUCCCUCUCCCUAAAAAAACAGUUCCUCUCACCAUCUAUUCCUUCCUUUUAAAAACUUUCUACCUGAAUUUACCCAAUUCUAUCAGUUAAUGAAUUUUUCCGGUUGGCCAGUGUAAAACUACUACAUGUGUGUGUCUUCUUAAAACUUUUUGUUUAUUUAUUGCCUUCCUUCCAGAGUUACUAUACAAGGCUCUGUGCUUGAGUGUUCCAUCAGGACCACAAUACAAGUGGUAGAUUCAGUCCACUCUAGCUCAAUAGACAUAUUUGCAGUUCUGAAAUCAACGUAUAUCAGAUCGGUCUUAACCCAACCAUCAGAGUUAUUCUUCGAUUCAUACAUAUUUUUGGAGGAGUUUUAAAAAUAGUUGACUGAAGAAAAUCAGAGCAAUUUUUGACACCCAAAAGAGUUCUGUUAGAAACUAAAGGUUAGGUUAUGUUCUAACUUGUCCCAUUGAGGAUUUUUCUUAAAUCGUUCUAAUCACCUUAUGUAGGUGUCAUUUUCUUCUGCUGAAAUUUGAAAAUAAUAUGUCAGUUACAGUCUUCCGAGAAGCAGACACCAAGACAGGGUUAGUACAAGAGAUUGAUUGGAGAAAAUGCUUGUGAAGGAUAAAGGGAGAGGGAGGAGGAGAAGGCAGGGAGACUCAGAUCAGAAUGCAGACUGGAACCUGGGAAAGCAGACAGGGAAGGAAGAAUGAGUAGGAAGAGCCCCAGAUUGCAGUGUAAUUCUGAGAGUCACAGCUAGACCAAUGGGGAGUCCUGGGCUAAAGCUGUUCAUUAGAAGAAUCCAAAAUUGGGGCAGGAACAACUCGGUUCUAGUACUUCCACUGUGCUCAGUCAUUGAGAGCAGCAUAGGAAAACUUGGCAUGGUGCAAAUUCAAGGGUGGAUCCAAAAGCUGCAGCUGCAGACUACCAAUCAGUUCAUAGUAACGCUCCUCCAUGAUUCCUGUGAACCCCUCUUGCUAAGGGUAGAGUUACAAAGGCGAGAUUAAUGGGACAAACUAUAAUCUCUGUCAUUGCAAUUGGUCUUGGGCUAUUCUGGUACUUUUUCUUUCCUCCACUAUCCACUCCACAUCCCGUUCCCUCUCAACUAUGGCCUCUGCAGAUCUUGUUGACUUACCUGGCGGUAUGACCUAAACGCUCAUUCCUAAGAUCAUCAUACCCUUCUUAGUCUGGGGUUGCUGCAUGUGUCCAUUCACAGUUACCUUUGGGCAAGGGAAUACUAAGAGGCACCUAAGUGGGUCCCCUGGGUUCCACAUGUAUUCCUUCUUGUCUCCGCUGUGUAAAAGCAGCCCCAUCUUUUCCUGCUAAUCGGAGUCAAUUAUCCCUGCUUGCUGGCCGCUGGGUGCAGAGUUAAAAGUGCCCUACUACUAAAUAGUUUGUAGUUCAAUGGAUCACUGCUGUGACCCUGAUAAGAGAGAAAACCUUUGAAGACUAGGAUCUUUAACUCUGCUCAGCUCAGAGUUGUGGGAGGUGAAGCAUAAAGUGAGUAAUUGGGAGUGGUUGUAAGUGAGGCCAUUCUUGCUUUCACCGCUUGAUUCCCAGAUCCACGUAUCCUUCCUUUUGGAGACAGUGCCAUGUAGAGAUCUGUGAUUUAGUGCCUAUACUAUGUCUUGAGGGAUGGUGCGCCAUCCUUGCAGAAUAUUUAUUGUCUCUGAGCUGCUGAUUUAGCUGUGAUUUUAGUAAGUCUUUCCAGUACUGUAGGAGGCCAGCUUCAUGUAAAUAGUACAGUAUAUGAUACGACAACUAGAUCCCAUGGACAUGGGCCCAUUCCCCUACCUCCUUCUCGGGGAAGUGGGUUUUCUUAUGGAUGCUCUGCUGCAUGGGAUUCUGUGCCUGUAGAAUUAGUGGUGCCGGCUGAGGCUCUGCAGACAGGAAAGGCCAGGUUAGUUCCCCUGCAGUGCUCAAUCAAAGCCUGGGAGCAGCCCGGGGACAUGUGGCCUGCUGUGAUCGCCACAGUGGAUCUGGAAGUGUGGCAGUUGAAAGCUGUCAGUCAUCUGUGCUUCCCACAGCAGGUGUUUUUGAAAGCAGAUCUGAGUGAGUCACCUCCGUUGCUGCCACUCUGAGACAGAAUGACUCUCACAAAAUCACAUAAUGAGGAGCAGGAACAUUUACACUACUUGUUCCAUGUUGUGCCUACUGGAGUAAGAAAUGUAGAAAGAAAAGUUAAUUCAAACCAAGAAUAGUAUUUGAAGGAGAGUCAAUUUGAAUUCACAAAAGUCUAAGUUAUAAACAAUAGUAUUUUUAAGAAAAUGCUUUAAUUUACUUCCAAACAAAUAUACUAAUCCUGAACAUAGUAACACACUAAUAUUGAAUCCUGAAAAAGUAUAUAUAUAUAUUUUUGGUGAGGAAGAUCAGCCCUGAGCUAACAUCUGUUGCCAAUCCUCCUCUUUUUGCUAAGGAAGCUUGGCCCUGAGCUAACAUCCAUGCCCAUCUUCCUCUGCUUUAUAUGUGGGAUGCCUGCCACAGCAUGGCUUGACAAGCGGUGUCUAGGUCCGCGCUUGGGAUCCGAACCUGUGAACCCCAGGCUGCCAAAGCAGAGCAUGCGAACUUAACCACUACGCCACUGGGCUGGCAUCUGACAAAGUAUUUUUAAGAGGACUUGUAAGUUAAUAAGGAAAACUUAUUUUUAACUAGUAAUAUCUGUUUUCCUAUGAGUAAUUUGCCCAAGUUUCAAGAAAAGUUGGCUUGGCAAGACCCUGAUCUGCAUAGUGUUCUACACGAAUACUGUAAAGGUAACACAGCCCAGUCAACGUCAACAAGUUAAUAGAUUUUAUAUCAGUAUAGUCUAACGUAAUUCCUUUUAUAAUAUAUUGAAAUGACUUGCCCAAGAUUCACCUUUAAAGGCUUUGUGAGCUUACUUCCUACAGUCUCAAAAUUACAUAUAAAUGACUGUGGAUUAGUUUGUAGAGCCAACAAAAUAGGUGAAUAGAAAAUCAGCCUCAAAAAAUCUCUAGCCCUUGCCAGUUUACUUAAGGGAAACUCUCCAUAGCCAAACACUGUUGCUGGUAAUAAAAAAUUGCAAGCUGUCACUGAAUUCUGCUUCCUUGGCAGCUCAUCUCAGUGAUGUACUGAUUGAUAACAACUCAGAUAAUCAAAUCAAAAACUCUACAGGUAGUUACUCCUCAGAGACCUUGAAAGGAUUUACAUCUUAAGCCAGUGAAUAUCUCCCUGAAGUCAUGGCAUACUCGCAGCCUUCAGAAGGUUGCCUGGUGAGGAUUCAGGGAAAAAAGGAAUUAAGUAAUUAUUUGGAGUGUAAAGUUAAGGGCAUCGUGAUGCCAGUAUCUGGUGCAUCUAUAUUAAUAAUAAUAGCAGCUUACAUGGGUCAAGCACUCUUCUAAGUGUUUUAUGUAUAGUGACUCAUUUAAAUAUUGCAGCGAACUCAUGCAGUAAGGUAUAUGGUUACUCCCAUUUGUAGAUGAGGAAACUGAGCACAAAGAAGUUAAAUAACCUGCCUGUCUUAGUUUGGGCUGCUUUAACGAAAUACCAUAGUCUGAGUGGCGUAAACAACAGACAUUUAUUUCUUACAGUUCUGGAGGCUGGGAAGUCCAAGAUCGGAAUGCCAGCAUGGUCAGGUUCUGGUGAGAGCUCCCUUCCUGCUUUGCUGUAUCCUCACAUGGCAGAGAAUCUCUUCUUAUAAGAGCACUAAUCUCAUUCACAAGGGUACAACCUCAUAACCUAAUUACCUCCCAAAGGCCCCAUCACAUUGGAGAUUAGGGCUUCAACAUAUGAAUUUUGGGGUUAGCAAAGAUUAAAAAAACCAAAAACUGGUGAGAAUAAAGAUCAAUGUUGGCAAGAAUACGGGGAAAGGAACAAUCUCAUGCUCAGUUGUGGAGAAGAAGACGUUUCUGGCUGGUGGGAUAUAUUGUGUUGUAUAAUUAUAACGUGGAUUUAUGGAUCAUCUUUCUUUUGACAAGCUCCAAGUACUUUAACAAGUUAUGUUUCAUAUAUCCUAAUAAUACACCUGUGAAAUAGGUUGAAGAAAAUAUUUUCUUUUCAAUUUAUAAGUGAAAGAACAGAAACACAGAUAUAUCAGGUAAUUAGUGCUUGGCUACACAGAGUGUUAGUGACAGAACUGGGACUAGAACCCAGGUUUCCUGACUUGCAAGCCAGAUUAUAAGUUUCAGAAUCAUAAAACUGUCUACUCUGCAAUUUAAAAAAAGUAAUGGCAUAUACUCUCACACAUCUUGAAUUUCUAGAGCUGUAAUAAUAAUCCACUAAAAAAGGAAAAAAAUGUCUUCCUUUGAGAAUCUCAUUGGAAAAGAACAUUUCUCAAGAAAUGUAGAGAAUACGUCUUCAACCACUGAUUCUCUUCAUCAAGAAUUUCUCUAUAAAAUGAACUAUAAAAUGUGAUGACCUCAGGCUCAAUGUUACACUUGUUUUUAUUCCUCUAAAAUAUUGUCCAAACAAAUAAAUGCCCUAGACUCUAAAUUAAUCAUUUGAAACUGGUCGACUACAGCUUUGAAAAUAUUGGGAGCAUCAUAAACAUCAUGCCUACAUGUUUCUUUUUCAUCAUGGAACAUAUACAGCCUGCAGUCAUUCAUAGCAAUAUCUCAUGGCUCUGGUAAAAGCUUAUGAACACCUUUCUCUGUCCAUCUGUAUAUUUCUGAAUAAUUAGAUGCAUUCAAAAGUCCAACAAACUAAAUUCUAAUUGGUGACUCAAUGGCAACAGGAAUAGUUGAAUAAGGUAGUUUAUUUAAGUGGAAAACCUGUAUGUCUCUGAAGUAGAGCAAUUUGCAAAAAGAACUAGAAAAACUAGCCUAUUAAUUGAGAAUUUAAACUUGGAAAAUUUUCAUUGCAUUUAUAGUAAUACGUUAGAAUUUGAUUGAACAACAUUUUGAUUAUGGUUACUUUCUCUUUGAGCUUUCAUUUCAUUAGUAAGACUUCUGUAAAUUGGCUUUGCUCUCUUUGUA